UUUGGUUUUCCAACCACGGAUCUGUGCUUUGCGGUCCCCCAUUCGUUGGGGUCGACUGCUCUGCAGCUCGAUAACUUAUGGAAACCAUCUUUUUGCUAUGGUGUAAAUCUCCUGUCGACAGGUCCAAGAACAUCGGGCCACUUGUUGUUUCAUUCGCUGUCGCAAGACGGCUGAGUGUUGGGGCAAGUGAACCUAGGGCGUCAUAUUCCAAACCUCUUUUCCGAGACCGUUGGUCGGUGAGGUUGGGGCAAACCAUGAGUAUGCCUACAUCU
rfam:Stachybotrys chlorohalonata IBT 40285 unplaced genomic scaffold scaffold1357, whole genome shotgun sequence.